GUUUUCAUGUAAACACACACACACACACACACACUCCUCCCUUUGCAUUCAGGCUGUUGGAAUGUCCCACACGUGGUAGUCCAAACUGCUGCACCGCCUCAAUGCAGAUGAAGUAAAAGGAAGGGGGAGUGAACGGUCCUUAUUUUUGGAUGUCUCUCUGACUGCUCCACUCCUCCAUGCUGUGCUGUUGGAUGUUCUUGGUUUAUGGUCAUUUAACGGAUUAGCGCUUCUCUGUUUGUUUUGCUGACCAGUGUUGUGCUAUGUUCAGGGAGGUGAGGCUUGGCCGGACUGGAGUGGAUGAAAUAAAAUGUCACCCCUUCUUCAAGAACGAUCAGUGGACCUUCGACACCAUAUGAGACAAUAUGGCAGACACGGCCAAACAUCGAAACUUUGGAGGACGUCUAGGAAAAAAAGCACCAUAUCAUCAAGGGGAAUAAAAGCAAAAAAAUGCCAAAAACAGACACCCAAAACCCUACGCAUGCUGCGCGACACAGGGGCGUGAACCUGCAGGACCCAGACGCACAGUCCACUCGAAGCUGCUGUGGGAACUAAAGGCCUGUCAACACUCCAUCAUGGGAGACCACGACACCUUCUCCUCCCUAAAAUCCCACCCUUCACCCUUUCACCUCCCAAGACGGAUAAGGAAAGAGAAAGAAAGAGAAAGGAAUACCAGGAAGAGCUCGAGGAAAACGCCUCACUCAUGCCACAAAGAGAUUUUUCAAGGAAGACUUCUGGUGGACGGGGCUGAAAGCGAACGGACGAUGGAUUCUGUCAUGUCUGGCAGUAAAUAUGGAUUCUGUAUUACUUUCAAGUCAACAAGAAUUUCCACCUCAGUUCAUCCUCAUUAUGCAAGCACCAUGUAGAGAUAAAGGAUUGGAAAAGAGAUAAAGGAACACAGAAUGGACUGAAGAGUUAUUAUUAACCAACAAACCUUCCCAUUCUCAGCCCCUGGAAGGGUCCGUAAUGCCCCUUUUAACAUUCAGAAGUCUUCAAGCGAAAUCUACACUGAGUAUCCAUAUGGUCUGGGCUCUCCCAUUUAAUCUCAACUCUAACACUGGAAGAAAGUCAGCACCUUAAACUUAAACUAACCCUUCAGUUAUUCAUCUAUGAGCCACAUCUACUAAAUUUCUAACACAAAGGAACACCGAAGCAGAACUUCAUAUGUUUUAUUUCAGCUUUAUUUAUUACCUUUGUUUGAACUGGUCUCCCUUUGCGCAGCUCGUCAUUCAUCUAUGACCCAAAAAGUAUUGAAGAAAGUCAAUGUUGUCUUCCCUAUCCCAUUUACUUCUCCCCACAGCAUUGACCUCAAAGUUCAGUGUUGAUGUUCACAAAACAACAGCGAGCUCUACGAUGCCUUCUUAAUCUUCUUUUAGCUUUGUGUAAACUACUGUUUGAGAGUCAACAAAUUAUUACAUAUAUUUGCACCAAUCAGACUGAUCCAAAAUCAUUUUGCUUCACGAUUAAUUGCAAAAUAUCAUUACACAUUUAGUUGUCUGGAUGCGGAAGUCACACAACACCAGUCUCAAUAUGUGUUAUUAAAAAGCAACAAAAAAUAUUCAAGCACCCACUAAUCAACAAAGUGAAUGAUUGAGCACUGGGAUGGCAAAUAUUGUGGGAAUGCAGAUUUUUGCCCACAAAGCCCCUGAAAAAGUGGAAAAAAACAGAAGUGCCUACUCCGUUUUUUCCGUGUUCUUUGUUUUGGGCUUGAUUGAGGUCGGCUGACCAUCUUAAAAGUAGCGGUUUUGAGACGAUCCCGAGGUAUACGGGCAAUAAGCUGUGAGAAUAACUUGCGGAGCGUGCUAGUAAACAGAGGAGUCGUUUCAGUUUUGUUUUAUGAAUGCUGUUUGUUGAUGUGUAUUAAAAAGAAUUUUAUUUCAGAUUGAUUUUAGUCAGUAAUUUAAUGGGUUACCAAUACAUUUAUAUGGUCAUUUAGGGAAUGAAUUAGGUAUCAUGAUAAGGUGUCACACAGCUAGAAGUCAUUUGUCAUGUGUCUUCAGGUCCACCUUUUUUGUGGAAUAAGAUCUGAUCUCGUUAACACCUCUGUCAAUUUUAAAUAAAGCUGUGCUGUUCUGCUAUGAAUGAAACGUG